rnacentral:rRNA from 1 species
GGUACCUAAUCAGAAAGCCACGGCUAACUACGUGCCAGCAGCCGCGGUAAUACGUAGGUGGCAAGCGUUAUCCGGAAUUAUUGGGCGUAAAGCGCGCGUAGGCGGUUUUUUAAGUCUGAUGUGAAAGCCCACGGCUCAACCGUGGAGGGUCAUUGGAAACUGGAAAACUUGAGUGCAGAAGAGGAAAGUGGAAUUCCAUGUGUAGCGGUGAAAUGCGCAGAGAUAUGGAGGAACACCAGUGGCGAAGGCGACUUUCUGGUCUGUAACUGACGCUGAUGUGCGAAAGCGUGGGGAUCAAACAGGAUU